rnacentral:rRNA from 1 species
AUUGAACGCUGGCGGCAGGCUUAACACAUGCAAGUCGAGCGAGCGGCGGACGGGUGAGUAAUGUCUGGGAAACCGCCUGAUGGAGGGGGAUAACCACUGGAAAUGGUAGCUAAUACCGCAUACCAUCAGAUGUGCCCAGAUGGGAUUAGCUAGUAGGUGGGGGAAUGGCUCCCCUAGGCGACGAUCGCUAGCUGGUCUGAGAGGAUGACCAGCCACACUGGAGGUGAGACACGGUCCAGACUCCUACGGGAGGCAGCAGUGGGGAAUAUUGCACAAUGGGCGCAAGGCUGAUGCAGCCAUGUCGCGUGUGUGGAGAAGGCCUUCGGGUUGUAAAGCACUUUCAGCGAGGAGGCGUUACUCGCAGAAGAAGCACCGGCUAACUCCGUGCCAGCAGCCGCGGUAAUAC